UACGUAGGGUGCAAGCGUUGUCCGGAAUUAUUGGGCGUAAAGAGCUCGUAGGCGGUCUGUCGCGUCGGCUGUGAAAACCCGGGGCUCAACCCCGGGCCUGCAGUCGAUACGGGCAGGCUAGAGUUCGGCAGGGGAGACUGGAAUUCCUGGUGUAGCGGUGAAAUGCGCAGAUAUCAGGAGGAACACCGGUGGCGAAGGCGGGUCUCUGGGCCGAUACUGACGCUGAGGAGCGAAAGCGUGGGGAGCGAACAGG
rnacentral:rRNA from 1 species